CCUCCCAAGUGUUGCGUAGGCGUUGUGCACACUGUCUGACACAACCGUGUGUACCUCUCCUGCCUAACAUUUGGACGG
rnacentral:pre_miRNA from 1 species